rfam:Oryza nivara chromosome 5, whole genome shotgun sequence.
AAAAAGACAAACGGUGGGUUUCCGUGCCAACGUUUGACUGUCCGUCUUAUAUGAAAUUUUUUUAUAAUUAGUAUUUUCAUUGUUGUUAGAUGAUAAAACAUGAUUAAUACUUUAUGCGUGAUUUAUCUUUUUAAUUUUUUUCAUAAUUUUUUUAAAUAAGACGGACGGUCAAACGUUGGACACGGUAACCAGGGUUUAUCUUUUU